rnacentral:tmRNA from 1 species
GGGGACGAAAGGACUCGACAGCGAUCGGUUGAUCGGUUUUGCGUGCCGAGGUGCCGUGCCCUCGUAAAACUGCGGCAACUGAAAUAACUGGCGAGAAAGAACUCGCUCUCGCUGCCUAGCUAGGCGGUGAGCGUUCCCCGCCGCGCUCGGCCGGACGGCCGGUGAGGGGGCGUCAAUCAGUCCGGCUGCUCGGUCUCUGACGCCGGGAAGAGGCCGCUAAGACCCACUCCGGCUGGUCCAGGGGCCAGCCCGUCGGGCGACGGGCCUCGGGACGAGACACCAAGCCCGACUACGCGCGUAGCAGAUACCGGCGGCCCGUCGUCUGGACGGGGAGUUCGAUUCUCCCCCGUCUCCACCA